AUAACCAGGCCCUGUCAGAACCUGAGCCAUUUUUGUGCUACAAUUCUUCAGGUAUAACCGUGUAUGCUGGAUUUGUUUGUUUAGCAUUUGUUUGAU